rnacentral:lncRNA from 1 species
UAAAACAUUUUUCUCCAUGUUUUUGUUUAGUUUUUUGAGCAUCUUUAAGACCGUUGUUUUAAAGUCUUUGAUAAGUCCACCAUCUGGUCUUCCUUAGGGACAUUUUCUGUUGAUUUAGUUUUUCCCUUUGAAUGGGCCAUACUGUUUUGUUUCUUUUUAUGCCUCGUGAUUUUUUUGUUGCUGUUGUUGAAAACUGGAGAUUUGAAUCUUAUAAUGUGGAAAGUCUGGAAAUCAGAUUCUCCUUCUUUCUCAGAGUUUGCUUUUCUUUCUUUUUUAAAUUGGUAUAGGCUGUCUCUGUGCCUGGGAUCAGUAAAUUUAAGGUUUCUUAUGCCUUUUCUCAGCUGGCACCUUUCUCUAAAUAUGUGUAAUUACUUUCUAAAUUAUCUUUUAUAUAUAGUUGCUUUUGAAUGUCCUAGUCCUUAAAUAUCUGGCUCCCAAAAGGGGAAAAAGAGAAAACCGAAGAGGGGAAAUGUGUUGGCUUUUUAAAUCUUCUAGAAACUGCUUCAGCCACAGGGGAAGGGGCUUACAGCAAUGGUGGUGAGAGUAGCAACAAUGGCUUCUCUUUUGUGUGUCUCCACCUCUGCUUUCAGAAGUAGCAGUCAGUCAUCAGAGCACAGAUCUUCUAUAUCUGGAGGACAGAGCCCUUAUUGCCCAUGUCUCUGCAAGUGGUGUAUAAGCUGCUGCUGGAACACAUGUGUAACUGCCUGUGCUGGGGCUAGUGGGUGGGCAAGCUAGCAGAUUAAGAACAGAAAUUGAACAAAAUUAAUUAACUGUCCAAGCCUUUAUCUGGAAGUUGCAAGUCUUUGAAUAGACUCCAGAGUUCCAGAAUAGUUACAUCAGCUAGUUUCUGCAGAACAAUGUUAUCUAGGUAGGGAGACUAAUUUCUGCUACUUUCCACUCCACCAUCUUCCUGGAAUUCUCCUCUCCAGUUCUGAUUUCUUUUCAUUUUACCAUUAUUCCUUUAAUUUAUCCCACAUUUUACAAUAAACAACAUAACAACUUAGACAGUAACUUCAACACUUUGUUCGGAAAUCUAAGCUAGAUCACCCAGUUCAUUCAAUGCAUAUCCUGCUUUCCAUGUUACUGAAGGCAAUAGUGUUGUUAAGCUUUCUACCAUGACAUAAAAAGGAUCUCUCUUUCACCACCUUCUAAUAACAUGUUCCUAACUUCCUUUUUUGCCCUUACUGGUGGCAUCCUCAAAGUCCAGAUUUCUAUUAAUAGUCUUUCAAGGCAACUUAAGCUUUCUUUAACAGAAUCCUCAAAAUCCUUCCAGCCUCUGCCCAUGUUUGGUUCCAAAGCCAAGGUAGCACCCCACUUCCAAGUACCAAAGUCUGUAUUAGUUAUCUCUUGCUGUGCAACAGACUGUCCCAAAGCUUAGUGGCUUCAAACAAAAAGCCCUUAUUAUCUCACAGUUUCUGUGGACCAGGGAUUGGGCAUGGCUGAGCUGGACUCUCAGACUCAGAGUCUUUUAUAAGGCUGUAAUCAAAAUGUCAUUUGGGGCUGCAGUUACCUCAGGGCUCAACUAAGAGAGAAUCCACUACCAAGCUUACUCAUGUGACUGUUGGCAGGCCUCACGUCCUCAUUGGCUGUUGCCCAGAGACAUCACUUUUUUCCACUUGGGCCUCUCCACAGAGCAUCUCACAGUGGGGCAGUUGGUCUUCCUCAGAGUAAGUAAGGAAGAAAGAAAGAGAGUGAGCAAGAUGGAAGCCAGAAUUCUUCAGUAACUUAAUCUCAGAAAUGACAUCUCAGUUGUUUUGCUGUGUUCGUUUGGUUACAAGAGAGUCACUUCUAGCAGAGAUGGAAUAAUAGAGACCAGAUGUACCCUCCCAGCUGAAACAACAAAAAAAUACAGAACAAAAUAUAUAAAAGAAUGGUUUUCAAGGUACUAGACAUCACACAGUGAAGGACAGUGAUCCCAGAGAGAUGAGAAACAAACAAGGGUGGGAAGAGAGAUCAGCAACGUUAACUGGGUGUCAAGAAAACAUACCGAGAUUGAAGCCAUCCACUUCUGCAGGAACACCGAAAAGAAAGGGGAUAAGAGUGGUUUCAAAGGAGACUGUUCCGACCAGGAGGUCCCAUCCCUGACACACCAGUACUUGGGAGACUCAACAGGAACGAACUGAAGUCUUGUUGCUUUUAAAGAACUAGAAAGGACUGUGAAGACAACCAGAGUGGGAAGGAACCUCAGAAACCUUUGGACCAACAGAGGAAAAAGCCCAGAGGUGCAGGACAUAGAUCAAAACCAGUCGCAUGCGAGUCAUUCUAGGAUCCGGCCAAAGUUAAUUAACAGAGGGCCAUUCAGUCUCCACCGAGUCAAACAAUAAUUAGGUUAGUUAGGGUCUUUGAGCCCCAACACAGUCUAGACUCUGAGACACUGCAAUAUAACAAUAUUCUUCUGGUUUCUUCUCCAUUCCAAAUCUAUCUUCCUAAAAUACUAAAUUUUAAGAGUGAAAGUGAACUUGUGAACAUAAACAGGUAAAAUGUGGGUGUGUGUCCAGA